UUUCUCGAAUCGAAUUCAAGCUUAGAGAACAACAUUAGAAUUUGAUUAUAGAAUGAUUACAGAAACACUCGAAAUGCACUAUCGAUAUAAAUGCUAGUUAUCGAAUACAAUAAGUGUCUGCUGAGUCGCUCAUUCCUAGUGUCAAAUAAAAAUAAUACGUGCGCAAAGUGCUUUAAAUUUUUUUAGACGGUUAUUAUUACAAAAUUACGGGUAAAUAUAAUUUUUAAAUGCAUUAAAAAAAAGUUUAAGAGAGAAAGCGAGCAGAUUGUGGACAUGCUGUUUGAUUAUCGUGAGUUAAGGAAUGAAACCCACGAUGCACUUGAGUCAGAUGCAGAUUCGCCGCCAGCUCUUAAAGAAUUGCGAAGUGACAAUAUCGAAUGUGAUUCAAGCGGCAGUGAAUCCGAAAAGGAGUUAAGUGAAUCAAAUGAUGACACAGAUAGUGCUUCUGAUGGUGAAAAUUCAAGUUUGCCACAGGACUUAACCGAAUGGACAAUUAAACAUAAUAUUACGACUUCUGCGACGGACGACUUAUUGAAAAUUUUAGGAAAGAAUGUUUCAGGACUUCCGUUAUGCUCUAGAACUUUAAGAAAUACACCAAAAAAAAAUACCUAAAGUAACAAUGUGUUCGGGAGAAUAUGUUCAUUACGGCGUUGAAAGUGCUUUGACCGAUUUUUUAAACCAGAAUGACUUCAAUGAUAUCCGGUUAGAUUUAAACUUUAAUAUUGAUGGGCUUCCACUGGCAAAAAGUUCUAACCAUCAGGUGUGGCUAAUUCUAAUUAAUGUAAACGGGUGGGACGAUGUGAAGGUUAUUGGAGUGUGUUGUGGGAAUAGCAAGUCAGCAAGCGCAAACGAAUUUCUUACAAAAUUUGUAGAUGAACUACUUAUUUUAAUGGAAAAUGGAAUAUUUUUUAACGAAAAACAUUACUCUGUAAAUUGUCGAGCUUUUAUAUGUGACGCACCUGCGCGUGCGUUUAUUCUUGGUAUCAAAGGUCAUUGUGGAUAUUCGUGUUGUCCUAAAUGCAUACAGAAAGGCCAGUCUAAAAAUGACAAAAUAAUUUUUGUUAAAGAAAAUAGUCUUCCUCGAACUGACACCGAUUUUCGUGCUCGUGUUGAUAGAGCCCAUCAUGUAAUUUUAGAACCGAUGGUAAUUGAAAAGGUAAUCGUUUGCUUUGGAUUACAUGCAUGUAGUCUGUCUAGGAGUUACAAAGACUUUAUUGUUGACCUGGAUAAAAAAACGUAAAAAACCUUAUUCACUUAAGCAGAAGCAAAUUCAAGCAUUAGAUUCAAGAAUAAUGUUUAUUUGCAAUCAGGUGCCGCGAGAGUUUGCUAGGCACCCACGUUCUUUGAAAGAUGUUGAGCGGUUUAAAGCCACAGAGUUUAGGAAAAGCAUCAGAAAAUACUCCUGUAACUAAAAAUGAUAUUGAUUGGCUUGAGAAAAGGAUAUUGGACCGUAUAAAACAGUCGGAAAAUAAAAUACUGAAAGAAUAGACCGAAAUCAAAAAUCCUUAAAGAGGGCCCUGACACGAAUUUUGCAAGAAACAAAGCAGACUACAAAGAGAAGCCACAAAUCACGAAGUGAGCUGCUCCUGAAAGUUCCAUUUGAUAACUUGGAACAAUUUCAAAAUUUUGAAAAGGAUAUAGAGGAGCAUUCCAGCAAAUUUAAUGAACUGAAGGAGGAAUUUUUUACAGUAUCUGGCCACACAGCUGAAAAGUUCGUAAAAAAUGCUUGGCGCCAAAUUUUUACCGAUGGUGUUGCGCAGAAUUUGUGCUGGAAGGGUACGAAGGAUAAAAUGGCUGUGAGACCCUUAAGUGUAACAGCUGCCUUAAAAAGUACAUUUUUGUCUAAAUUCCCUCAUGCGACAGAUACAGACUUUGAGCGCACGUCUAUAGUCUUCUUCCAGCAUGCUAAAGGACGCUACAUGAAAAAAAUGGCAUACGACUCCAAAAAAAACAAAAACGUAAAAAUUUAACUUAAAAGAACAUAAUGUGAUCUCAUUUUAAUUUUUUUAUGAAUAUUUUUGUGUUUGAAUUUGAAUUUAUAAUUUUAAUUAAUUCACUAGAAUUUAAUAUAAAGACCUUUGUGUUGGACUUUUUACACACAACUAUAUUAAUAUUAAUGUAAUGAAAAUUGAGGCAAUAUGAAA